rnacentral:rRNA from 1 species
UACGUAGGUGGCAAGCGUUGUCCGGAUUUAUUGGGUUUAAAGGGUGCGUAGGUGGCCCUGUAAGUCAGUGGUGAAAUAUCUCAGCUUAACUGAGAGGGUGCCAUUGAUACUGCAGGGCUUGAGUACAGAUGGGGUAGGCGGAAUUGACGGUGUAGCGGUGAAAUGCAUAGAUAUCGUCAAGAACACCGAUAGCGAAGGCAGCUUACCAAGCUGUAACUGACACUGAGGCACGAAAGUGUGGGGAUCAAACAGG